AUUGAACGCUGGCGGCAGGCCUAACACAUGCAAGUCGAGCGGAUGAAGGGAGCUUGCUCCUGGAUUCAGCGGCGGACGGGUGAGUAAUGCCUAGGAAUCUGCCUGGUAGUGGGGGAUAACGUCCGGAAACGGGCGCUAAUACCGCAUACGUCCUGAGGGAGAAAGUGGGGGAUCUUCGGACCUCACGCUAUCAGAUGAUCCUAGGUCGGAUUAGCUAGUUGGUGGGGUAAAGGCCUACCAAGGCGACGAUCCGUAACUGGUCUGAGAGGAUGAUCAGUCACACUGGAACUGAGACACGGUCCAGACUCAUACGGGAGGCAGCAGUGGGGAAUAUUGGACAAUGGGCGAAAGCCUGAGCCAGCCAUGCCGCGUGUGUGAAGAAGGUCUUCGGAUUGUAAAGCACUUUAAGUUGGGAGGAAGGGCAGUAAGUUAAUACCUUGCUGUUUUGACGUUACCAACAGAAUAAGCACCGGCUAACUUCGUG
rnacentral:rRNA from 1 species